rnacentral:rRNA from 1 species
GGACGAACGCUGGCGGCGUGCUUAACACAUGCAAGUCGAACGGAAAGGCCCUGCUUUUGUGGGGUGCUCGAGUGGCGAACGGGUGAGUAACACGUGAGUAACCUGCCCUUGACUUUGGGAUAACUUCAGGAAACUGGGGCUAAUACCGGAUAGGAGCUCCUGCUGCAUGGUGGGGGUUGGAAAGUUUCGGCGGUUGGGGAUGGACUCGCGGCUUAUCAGCUUGUUGGUGGGGUAGUGGCUUACCAAGGCUUUGACGGGUAGCCGGCCUGAGAGGGUGACCGGCCACAUUGGGACUGAGAUACGGCCCAGACUCCUACGGGAGGCAGCAGUGGGGAAUAUUGCACAAUGGGCGGAAGCCUGAUGCAGCAACGCCGCGUGCGGGAUGACGGCCUUCGGGUUGUAAACCGCUUUCGCCUGUGACGAAGCGUGAGUGACGGUAAUGGGUAAAGAAGCACCGGCUAACUACGUGCCAGCAGCCGCGGUGAUACGUAGGGUGCGAGCGUUGUCCGGAUUUAUUGGGCGUAAAGGGCUCGUAGGUGGUUGAUCGCGUCGGAAGUGUAAUCUUGGGGCUUAACCCUGAGCGUGCUUUCGAUACGGGUUGACUUGAGGAAGGUAGGGGAGAAUGGAAUUCCUGGUGGAGCGGUGGAAUGCGCAGAUAUCAGGAGGAACACCAGUGGCGAAGGCGGUUCUCUGGGCCUUUCCUGACGCUGAGGAGCGAAAGCGUGGGGAGCGAACAGGCUUAGAUACCCUGGUAGUCCACGCUGUAAACGGUGGGUACUAGGUGUGGGGUCCAUUCCACGGGUUCCGUGCCGUAGCUAACGCUUUAAGUACCCCGCCUGGGGAGUACGGCCGCAAGGCUAAAACUCAAAGGAAUUGACGGGGCCCCGCACAAGCGGCGGAGCAUGCGGAUUAAUUCGAUGCAACGCGUAGAACCUUACCUGGGUUUGACAUGGAUCGGGAGUGCUCAGAGAUGGGUGUGCCUCUUUUGGGGUCGGUUCACAGGUGGUGCAUGGCUGUCGUCAGCUCGUGUCGUGAGAUGUUGGGUUAAGUCCCGCAACGAGCGCAACCCUUGUUCACUGUUGCCAGCACGUUAUGGUGGGGACUCAGUGGAGACCGCCGGGUCAACUCGGAGGAAGGUGGGGAUGACGUCAAGUCAUCAUGCCCCUUAUGUCCAGGGCUUCACGCAUGCUACAAUGGCUGGUACAGAGAGUGGCGAGCCUGUGAGGGUGAGCGAAUCUCGGAAAGCCGGUCUCAGUUCGGAUUGGGGUCUGCAACUCGACCUCAUGAAGUCGGAGUCGCUAGUAAUCGCAGAUCAGCAACGCUGCGGUGAAUACGUUCCCGGGGCUUGUACACACCGCCCGUCAGGUCAUGAAAGUUGGUAACACCCGAAGCCGGUGGCCUAACCGUUGUGGGGGAGCCGUCGAAGGUGGGACUGGU